rnacentral:rRNA from 1 species
CCUACGAGAGGCAGCAGUGGGGGAUAUUGCACAAUGGGGGGAACCCUGAUGCAGCGACGCCGCGUGGGUGAAGAAGCGCCUCGGCGCGUAAAGCCCUGUCAGCAGGGAAGAAAAUGACGGUACCUGAAGACGAAGCCCCGGCUAACUACGUGCCAGCAGCCGCGGUAAUACGUAGGGGGCAAGCGUUAUCCGGGUUUACUGGGUGUAAAGGGGGCGCCGACGGCGGUGCAAGCCAGGAGUGAAAGCCCGGGGCCGAACCCCGGGACUGCUCUUGGAACUGCGUGGCUGGAGUGCAGGAGGGGCAGGCGGAAUUCCUGGUGUAGCGGUGAAAUGCGUAGAUAUCAGGAGGAACACCGGUGGCGAAGGCGGCCUGCUGGACUGCAACUGACGUUGAGGCCCGAAAGCGUGGGGAGCAAACAGGAUUAGAUACCCUUGUAGUC